rnacentral:snRNA from 1 species
AGAUGUGAAGAGGAUCUAGUGGCAGCCUCUUUCCCCACUGCUAACCAGGGUUUAUUCAGCUGGUCUGACUGUCCGGACUGGGCUGCUCCUUUCUCCUUUACCAUUUCAGACAAGUCCCUCCUGAAAUUGCAUUCCUAGCAGAAAAGGGUGAUCUUCUCAGAAGAAGGUGGCUUUGCUCCUUUAAAGUGGGAGAACCGUCUUUAUG